UAUCUGUUGGGCUCUCGGUUUGUUCUGGUUCUUAUCCUAGUUGAGAGCUGAGCCUGGGGGCAUAGGACUGUGAGCCCAGCUACUGGGAUUCUGAGGCAGGAGGACACGAAAGCUCAAAGCCAGCCUGGGAAAUUUCCUGAGACUCUGAAGUGGACUUUCAUUGCCGUAGUUGUGAUGGCUAGUCAUGAUGGUCAACCUAAUACCUUGGGAAGCGUGAAUCUCAUUUAAAGAACGGACUCCAUCAGCUUGGCCUCUCUCCAGAAAGCUUCCUCUUGCUCACCGGUUCUCACUAGUUAAAAGCUGGAGCAAAUGGAGCUGACUUGGCCCCUGUAGACUUCUCCUGACAUACUUGAUUUCACAUACUUGAUAUCUCAGGGGACUGUUCACUGGUCCAGAUUUACCUGGUCUAGGUGAGUGUGAGAGUGAAGAAUAUCAAAACUACGUGUUCCCCCAUGGUUGUCCCUGACUCCGUCUUUGGAAUUCUUGUUCCUCUGCCCCAGUUCCAUGAUUCACAACUAGUUACUACUAUGUCUGGUUCUGGGGUUCUCCUCGAAUUUGUCUUGA